UACGAAGGGGGCUAGCGUUGCUCGGAAUCACUGGGCGUAAAGGGCGCGUAGGCGGACUCUUAAGUCGGGGGUGAAAGCCUAGGGCUCAACCCUGGAAUUGCCUUCGAUACUGAGAGUCUUGAGUUCGGAAGAGGUUGGUGGAACUGCGAGUGUAGAGGUGAAAUUCGUAGAUAUUCGCAAGAACACCAGUGGCGAAGGCGGCCAACUGGUCCGAUACUGACGCUGAGGCGCGAAAGCGUGGGGAGCAAACAGGG
rnacentral:rRNA from 1 species